CCUACGGGGGGCUGCAGUGAGGAAUAUUGGUCAAUGGCCGGAAGGCUGAACCAGCCAAGCCGCGUGAAGGACGAAGGUGCCAAGCAUUGUAAACUUCUUUUGUCAAGGGACAAAAUCAGGCUCGAGAGCCUGACCGCGGGUACUUGAAGAAAAAGCAUCGGCUAACUCCGUGCCAGCAGCCGCGGUAAUACGGAGGAUGCGAGCGUUAUCCGGAUUUAUUGGGUUUAAAGGGAGCGUAGGUGGAUUGUUAAGUCAGUUGUGAAAGUUUGCGGCUCAACCGUAAAAUUGCAGUUGAAACUGGCAGUCUUGAGUACAGUAGAGGUGGGCGGAAUUCGUGGUGUAGCGGUGAAAUGCUUAGAUAUCACGAAGAACUCCGAUUGCGAAGGCAGCUCACUGGACUGCAACUGACACUGAUGCUCGAAAGUGUGGGUAUCAAACAGGAUUAGAUACCCUAGUAGUC
rnacentral:rRNA from 1 species